UGUUGUGGUGUCAUCUCUUAUGGUUGUUCUGUUUAUAUUGCAGAUCAGCCCGAUCCACCACAUAGAAUAAUUAGAGCGAAUAUUGUCCUUUUAAAUCAUUUCUAGAUUUAUGAUUUGUCUUUUAAAUUUGCUCUCAUAGCU